GACGAACGCUGGCGGCGUGCUUAACACAUGCAAGUCGAACGGUAAGGCCCUUCGGGGUACACGAGUGGCGAACGGGUGAGUAACACGUGGGUAAUCUGCCCUGCACUUCGGGAUAAGCCUGGGAAACUGGGUCUAAUACCGGAUAGGACUCCUGCCUGCAUGGGUGGGGGUGGAAAGCUUUUGCGGUGUGGGAUGGGCCCGCGGCCUAUCAGCUUGUUGGUGGGGUGAUGGCCUACCAAGGCGACGACGGGUAGCCGGCCUGCGAGGGUGACCGGCCACACUGGGACUGAGAUACGGCCCAGACUCCUACGGGAGGCAGCAGUGGGGAAUAUUGCACAAUGGGCGCAAGCCUGAUGCAGCGACGCCGCGUGAGGGAUGACGGCCUUCGGGUUGUAAACCUCUUUCAGCACAGACGAAGCGCAAGUGACGGUAUGUGCAGAAGAAGGACCGGCCAACUACGUGCCAGCAGCCGCCGUAA
rnacentral:rRNA from 1 species